rnacentral:rRNA from 1 species
CGUCUUCGGACGAGCGGCGAACGGGUGAGUAACACGUUGGAACCUGCCUCGAACUCAGGGAUAGCCAUCCGAAAGGAUGAUUAAUACCGGAUAGUCCCGAAAGGGUAAAGAUUUUUCGGUUCGAGAGGGGCCUGCGGCCUAUCAGCUUGUUGGUAGUGUAAUAGACUACCAAGGCUACGACGGGUAUCUGGUGUGAGAGCAUGACCAGACACAAUGGGACUGAGAUACGGCCCAUACUCC